rnacentral:lncRNA from 1 species
ACAGACGAUGGUGGAUCUAGACACGUAGUGUGCCAGCCCAGACAGCAGGAAGGCUCAUCGCAGAGCAGAAGAGUGGAUGUCGGCCGCCCUCGUAGACAGACCGAACAGAUCAUUCCGGGGUCAUCAUCAGUAUUGGUGCUUUCGGAAGCAGGUGGCUCCGCGUAAUCUGCUAAACGUGGAUUGACAGCGUGACGGCGACGGUGUUGCCGUGCGUGUUGUACUGCAGGUAUCUCAUCUGGUGUUCCAGAUGUCAGACGAGCUGACCUAUCCAAGCGUCGCUUGCCAAGCGGUACCAGGGGUCUGGUUGCUUCACGCAAGGGGUUGUGCUCUGGUGUAGGCGACGAUAGAGCCGGGGGCUGGUGUACAGCCACUGUGGACGGCUCAUCCGGUCUGAUGCCACGGCUACACUCCUCUUCCUGUUCAGUUAUGAGGAUCUGAACCUCGGAGGCGAUGGCUGCAAUUGAGCAUGCCAAGAUGGCGGCAUCCUCAAGUGGGUCCGGAAUGGGGUCGAUCUCCGUAGGCAAAUUACGGUGAGGCUCCAUCAGAUGUCCCAAGCGGCUCAAACCAUCCACGUUUGAAUUCUUACGUCCGGCCUUAUGCAUCACUUCAAAGUCGUAGGCUUGAAGCUUCAGCGCAUAUCGAGCCAGCUUUCCCAGAAGAUCUCGAGCACGUGCAGUCCGCAAAGACCGAACCGCCGUCCGUAGCAUUACGUAGCUCUUGAAAAGCGUCUUCUUCUCUUGGACCCCAGCACCAGGGUGUCCCCUGCUUAAGUAGCGCAUACAAUGGUUGUGCAAUCAAGCCGAAGCCAGGGAUAAGUUCCCGGUAGUAACCAACAGCUCCCAGCCACGCUCGUACUUCGCGAACAUUGGAUGGCGACGGAAGUUCUGCAAUUUUCAUGACGUUGGUGGGGUUAGGUCCCACGACACCACGUACUCCGUCAAGUAGAUGACCAAGGAAAACCACGCGUUGUUGGCCAAACGUGCACUUCUUAGCUGCGAUCUUGAGACCAGCCAUUCGGAGAAGGUCGAACACUUGCUGAAGAUGUCGUACAUGAUCUUGUAGUGUUGGGCUGAAGAUAAGGAUAUCAUCCAGAUAAACCACCACACACCGUUCCCGCGGUGGGCUAUCCAAUGAAGCAGGGGGUGGAGGCGAAUCCUCUAGUAGUGGGCCCAGAACCUUGUGCAUCAGGGUAGCGAACACGGCGGCUGCUCCCUUUAGACCCAUGGGCAUUCGUACAUAUCGAUACUGAGCUGUGGGCGUGGCAAAUGCCGUACGCUCCUUAGAAGCCUCGUCCGCCAUCGGGACUUGCCAGUAGCCCGACUUCAAGUCCAGGCUGGAGUAGUAACGAGUUUCGCCACCCGGAGGUGCAGCAAUAUCCAAAAUAUCCUGGAUGUGGCCUAUCGGAAAUCGGAUGUCCUUAGUGACAUCGUUGACCCUCCGCAUAUCCACACAGGGCCGGAGUUCUCCGUUUUUCUUGGGGACGACUACGACUGGAGACACCCAAGGACUGUUGGACAGUUCGAUAAUUCCGUCCUGUAGCAUCUGCCGCAUCUCAGCAUCAACGGCGGCUUUCUCCGUUCGUGACAGACGGUAAGGAUUCUGCACGAUAGGAGGAUGAUCUCCCGUGUCCACCUUCAUGGACACCCAGGACGUAAGCCCUAGCUCUCGGUUGGUUAAGGCGAACAUGUCAAAGUUGUCAGUCAAACAUGCGACCAGCUGCUGGUGGUCGAGGUACUGAAGAUCGGUGUUUACUUUGCUGCUUAGCAACUCGCGUAGCUCAGGGGUAGGGCUCUUGACUGGCCGAACCGCACGGGCUACCAACCCGCGAAAAUGAGCCUCCUCUAAAUGUCCGUCAUGAUCCAAGCCGUCUGGGGCAAGGGCAGCUGGCAUGUUUGCAUCAAACUGUGCUGCCGCAGCAUGGCUGUGGGUAACGGGAGCACACUCCUCAGUUAGCAAUCGUGGUAACAGGAGCUCUCGCGAACUCAAGACGGGAAUAGUUUCAGGAAAAGGACGGAGUGGAUCCGCAGGGGUCGAUAUUGGCAGUCCAGGUCCGGAGUGCGAGUCAUUGUCGUACUCGAACUCAUCUCCAGGCCAGACAUUUGCCCGAGCCUCUUCACUGCCAUAACUGACGACGCUGUCGGUACUCCAUGCAUCUGCAUCCCAAUCACCGCUGGAGGCACUCUCCGACGGAAUCUCGUCCGACCUAAGCACGUGCCGUACAAGUGUGUCGACGAUGUGUUCCAUGUUCAUGUCCCUACGGGCUGUUGAAUCACCAUCACUGAACUCUCCGCUGCUUCCCACAGGUGAAUCAAUGGUCUCAGGCGCGGAGCCUCUAUUGAUAGCCGCAGGUGACAUCUGCCCUUGUGGCGUGGGCGUCUCAGGCCGCUGUAUUGAUGCCUCGGCCGUCAACAUGGAAGCUGGUUGAGUGUCGUCUUGCUCAGGUGAGUCGUCCCAAAGUCGAGCAGACGGGGGAAUGUUAGAGCUGGGGCUCCGAAGAAAAUGGAUAGCAAUGUUGGACCGCUGAUCCCGGUCAUUGGUGUAUUCCAGACGACUACUGUCGUACGAAAUACUUGCUCGUAUUGGGUAGAGGAAGUCGGUGCCCAGGAGUAGCUGAUAGUUGAGGGCGGUGCUGACGAACGGACUCAGCAGCAUCGUUAGGUCGCCAGUGGACACUUGCAGUUUACUGACACGUCCAGCGGCCCGACCACGAUUGCCAUCCGCAUUCAGGAACGUCACCUCCGUCUCCUCCAUCAGGUGUAGAAGGUCUAAACGCCUUAGUGUGUCUCGUGUAACAACACUAUGAGAAGCCCCAGAAUCGAUGACAGCAGGGACGGGAACUUGUCCUCCAUGUCCGUCAAUUAUCCAUACGGUAGCUUUGCAAACUUGCCAGGGUGGUACGACGGCAUCAGACUUCCAGGCGGGUAUUGUUGAAGAUGGUCGCUCUGAAAGAGAAGCUUGCAUGGUGCCUGCCGUAGGCCUUGCUGGACCAAACAUGGGCCCAGGCUGGGGGUUGCCAGUGCUGGUGUGCUGACGAGCUAACCCAAGGACUCGGCUGCCAACCUUCGUGUAGAUGCUGAUAGGGUUGCAUCGUAGAGUCGUACUCAAUGGUAGUGCAUACUUGUUGACCUUAUGGAUGAUGUCCUCAGCAAUACGCCGUUCUUCUUCUUGUGGGUCCGCAGGAAUCGGAUCAGUGCGGCCGCCAGACUCAGCUACUCGUCGACGGAGACGAGGUUCAGCGCUGGCAAUGCCUCGCUGAGCUGGGACGGCACCUCUGGUUGCGACAGUACGCUCUGGAGGUGGCGCACCCGGGGCUGCUGGCUCCUGUGGCUGAUGAGCCUGGGUAGCCGUAACCGGGGCAUUCGGGGAAGCCAACGGUGUCACCACGGGUCGUACAAUGCCUAUACGCCCGGUAGUAGUAGGCCGAGGCGCAUCCUGGCCAGGGUUAGCCGUUGGGCGCUUGUGGGGAAGCGGUAUANGGCUCAAAAUCGGCCACACGUUUGACAUAGGCGGCUGGUGGGGCAGCCGGCCGGAAACAAGAN